rnacentral:rRNA from 1 species
AUUGAACGCUGGCGGCAGGCCUAACACAUGCAAGUCGAACGGUAACAGGAAGCAGCUUGCUGCUUCGCUGACGAGUGGCGGACGGGUGAGUAAUGUCUGGGAAGCUGCCUGAUGGAGGGGGAUAACUACUGGAAACGGUAGCUAAUACCGCAUAAUGUCGCAAGACCAAAGAGGGGGACCUUCGGGCCUCUUGCCAUCGGAUGUGCCCAGAUGGGAUUAGCUUGUUGGUGGGGUAACGGCUCACCAAGGCGACGAUCCCUAGCUGGUCUGAGAGGAUGACCAGCCACACUGGAACUGAGACACAGUCCAGACUCCUACGGGAGGCAGCAGUGGGGAAUAUUGCACAAAGGGCGCAAGCCUGAUGCAGCCAUGCCGCGUGUAUGAAGAAGGCCUUCGGGUUGUAAAGUACUUUCAGCGGGGAGGAAGGGAGUAAAGUUAAUACCUUUGCUCAUUGACGUUACCCGCAGAAGAAGCACCGGCUAACUCCGUG